ensembl:lncRNA
GAUGCGGGCAUUCACCAAGAUGGCGGUUGUGAGACUUGCUCCGUCUAGUCUGUCCAGUGUGGGUGGACCCCACAUUAGCGGACUUCCAGAACAAGCCCGAUCCUUAAGGGCUUUGUGGUCUCACGGGGCUGUCUGUCAGAACCAGCAACUGCAGGAUGGAGCUGCGGUCAUCUCCACAAGGACUUCAUCUUCUCAAGAGGUAAAGGGGCAGCGCGCAAGUCUGGAGUUUAGGAAGGAAGGAUUUGGCCUGUGAUACACAAGGAGCAAAGGCAGCCCUCACAUACAUCCCCUGUUUUCCUGCCUCAUUACAAACAGCUCUGGAGCAUCACAUAAAUCAGUCAUCAACCUUUCUACAAGGGCUCACAGAAGACAUCUGAAGCAGAUGACACCGUCUCUGGCAAGCCAUUUCUGGGAAGAGGUGCUCUGCUCUCAGGUAUGGAGGUGCUCCUGGUGACUGUCUUUGAGCUCUUGGCACAGUUGGAGCUCUUCAAGAGAGCACUACUUCUUAAGCCCUCCCAGGUCAGGCUUUCGGGUCCCUGGGUUUAUCAAUUAAAAUUGGGGUACAAAGAUAAGCAGAGAAUUCUCAACAAAGGAAUUUCAAAUGGCCAAGAAGCACUUAAAGAAAUCUUCAAAGUCCUUAACCAUCUUUGAAAUGAGAAUCAAAAUGAUGCUGAGAUUUCAUAUACACUGUUAGAAAGGCUAAGUCCAUAAUUUCAAGUGAUAGUACAUGCUGGUAAGGAUGUGGAGCACAGAAAAGAUUUUUUCAUUGUUGCUGGAGUAGAAAUUUGUACAAUCAAUUUGGAAAAUUAAUUUGGCUUUUUCUCUGAAUACUCAAAAUAAUUUUACCUCAAGACCUAGCUAUACCACUCCUAGGCAUUUACACAAACGGUUACCUACUAUACAACAGGGACACUUGCUCAACUAUGAUCAUAGUAGCUUUGUUCAUAAUACCCAUAAACUAGAAACAAUUCAAUUGCCCCUAAAACAAGGAUGGAUAAAAAAUAAUGUGGUACAUUUGCACUGUAGAAUACUAUUCAGCUAUGAAAAACAAAGACAUCUUGAAUUUUGCAAGCAAAUAGGUGGAAAUUGAGAAUAUCAUCCUGAGUUAGGUAACCCACACCCAAAAACAUGCAUUGAAUGUACUGACUUAUAAGUGCUUAUUAGUCAAAAUUACAGUGUAAUCAUAAUAUACCGUAUAUACAGAAAGAUACUGAAUAUGAAGGAAAGCUCAAUAUAAAAUACCUGAUUCUCACUUAGGAGGGGGAAUAAAAUAGUCAUAGGAGAAAUAUGUAGGGAGAGAACUGAGUAAGAGAGGGAUAGGAAGAGGAAUAGGGAAUGAGUUGAGUAUGAAGUUUGAGGAGAGACAGAAGAGAGGGCUGGAGAACCAGAAGUGUAAAUGAAAACCUAUAGCUGGAGAGAGGGAGAGAGAGAGAGAGAGAGAGAGAGAGAGAGAGAGAGAGAGAGAGAGAGAGAGAGAGAGAGAGAGAGAGAGAGAGAGACAGAGAGAGAGACAGAGACAGAGAGACAGAGAGAGACAGACAGAGGCAGAGAGAGACAGAGUUGGGGGGUGCGGAAGGUGGGAACAUCUUGAGGAUAUACCAGACACCUGGAGUGGGACAUUUCCCACGGUAAAUAGUGGUGACAUUAGCUGAUACUCCUGGCAGUGGGGAUAUGGAAACUGAAGAUGCCACUUCUGUAGCCACACAGGAACUCCAGUGGGAAUAUAAGGACAACAACCCACAAGAAGACACAAAACUUUUGACCCCAAGUUUAUCCUUCCUACAAGAAAUGCAGAGAGAAAUGUGGAGCAGAGACUAUGGGAAUGGACAACCUAUAAAGGUCCUAAGUUUAGACCCAUCCACAGGCAAGUACAAGUUCCUGACAAUAUUAAUGAUACUUUGUUAUACUAGAAGACAAAGGAAUCACUUAACCCUCCGCUGACAGGUUCUACCUAGCAGCUGACUGAAACAGAUUCAGAAACCCAUAGUGAAACAUUGUAUCAUGCCUACAGACUCUUAUGGGAGAUUUAGGGGAAUGAGUGAGGGCCUGGAACAGAACAUCAACUACACAGAAUACCAACAGAGUCAUCUAAACUGAACCUUUGGGACCUCUCAGAGACUGAACAAUGUAGUACAUGAAGCAGACCUUGUCUGACACACAUUUGUUGAAGAUGUGCAGCUCACUCUUUAUUUCGAGUGCUAAAAGUGGGGUGGGAGCUCUUUUUAAAGCCGUUUCUUGUCUGUGAAAUCUGAUACUUUUUCUAGACUCAGUAGGAGUGGAUGAACGUAAUCCUGCUGUUUCUUGAUGUGGCAAGGUGCGGGAAUACUCACGGGGCUGGGGAGUUCAACCUCUUAGAGGAGGAGGAGAGGUGGGAUGGAAGGAAGAAUGGUGUUAGGAUGGUCUCAGAGGGGGCAAUGAUUGAGAUAUAAAGUGAAUAAAAAUAUAAAAAAUAAAACAAAAGUAUAUGUAAUAUAUAGCAGAGGACCCCUUGGUCAGGCUUCUGUCACAGAAGAUGCCACUAAUCCUCAAGAGAUUGGAGGCCCCAGGAAGUUUAGACGUUUUGUGGGUGUGGAUAUCCCCAGUAGAAUUGGCGGGGGGUUAUGGGAUCCAGAAUUCUUGGGGAAUGGGCCAGGAGGGGAAUAAUAUCUAGAGUGUAAAAUUGAUUAAUUUAUUUACUAAUUAAAAAUUCUUUGGAUCUUUGUAGAUGUAAAAUUGUCAGUAUAACCCUUUAAGAAAUUAUUCAUAUCUACAUCAAAAUGAUAAUUCACCAUUAUAAAGCUCUCAUGAUCCUAGAGAUGCAGAUAAGAUCUUGUCUAUCUAGAGGAUUAAAUAUUAUUUAUUGCAUUAUUAAAGUCAGAGUCUAUAUGACCAACUGAGGAGAGGUAAAAUGGUUUUGAAAUUAUUCAACGUUAGUAUUGAAAGACAUCCUUGAGAGAAUAGGGAUACCCAGUGUCCUAGUUAGGGUAUUACUGCUGUGAAUAGACACCAUGACCAAGACAAAUCUUAUGAAGGACAACGUUUAAUUGGGGCUGGUUUAUGUGUUCAGAGGUUCACUUGAUUAUCAUCAAGGUAGGGGUAUGGUGGCAUCCAGGGAGACAUGGUGCAGGAGGAGCUGAGAGACUACAUCUUUAUGUGAAGGCUGUUAGUUUAAGACUGACUCCCAUGCAGCUAGGAUCAGGGUCCUAAAGCCUACACCUCAGUGACACACAUUCCAACAUGGUCACAACUUGGAAUAUUGCUAUUCCCUGGGCUUCACACAUAUAAACCAUCAGACCCAGGAUACAGUUCAAUAUAAUAAAGACAAGAUAAGAAUGGUACACAGCAAAUAUCAUUCUAAAAUAUAUAUGCCCAAGCAUUCACACUAAAUCAGAAAUCAGAAAUGUGAAAAGUAUAUUUGAUCUUCCCCUGUUCAAUAAAAUCAUUGAAGUCUUAGCUAGAAUAAGAGCACAAGUGAAUGAGAUAGAUGUACACCCUUGAAAGAAUGAAGCCAAUGUCACUUUAUUUAGGCCUGGGUGGUUGAUAUACACAAAAGACUCUAAAGCCUCCACCAAAAUUCCCCUGCAGCUAUUCAAUUGUUCAGCAUUGUAUUAGAGGAAAAGCAAUGCAUAAAACCAAGUUAGUUUCCUAAAUCCAAAUACCCAGCACACUCUGCAAAUAAGCAAACUAACAGAUUCUCACAGAUAUUAUAGAUUAAAUAUAACCAAGGAAUUGAAUGACUUGUACAGUUAAAAACUCUAAACUUAAUGUAAAUUAACAGAAGAAGAUACAGUAACAUGGAAAGGCCCCACGCUCCUAGGUCAGAAGGAUUAAUAUGGUGGAGUUGGAUGUGAUGGUUUAUAUUUCCUUGGCUCAGGGGUGGCACUAUUAGAAGCAUGGUCCUGUUGGAGUAGGUGUGGCCCUGUUGGAGUAGGUGUGCGACUGUGUGUAAGGGGUUUAACACACUCAUCCUAGCUGCCUAGAAGGCAGUAUUCUGUAGGACCAUCCAGAUGAAGAUCUACAGCUCUCAGAUCCUCCUUCACCAUGUCUGAUUGGUGGCUGCAGUGAUCCUGCUGUGAUGAUAACAGGUCUGAACCUCUGAAGCUGUAAACCAGCCCUAAUGAAAUGGUGUCCUUUUAAGAGUUGCCUUGGCCAUGGUGUCUGUUCACACAACUAAAGUCCUAAGCUGAGGAAUAUUGAAUGGCUGUGAAGUACCUAUAGAAAUGUUCAACAACCUUAGUCAUCAGGGGAAUGCAAAUCAAAACAAUGCUGAGAUUCCUCCUCACACCCCUCAGCAUGGCUAAGAACAAAAACUCAGGUGAUGACAGAUGCUGGCAAGGAUGUGGAGAAAGAGGAACACUCCUCCACUGUUACUUGGAUAGCAAGCCAGUACAACUGCUCUGGAAAUCAGUUGGGAGUUUCCUCAGAAAAUUGGACAUAGUACUACCUGAGGACCCAGGUAUACUCAUUCCUGGGCAUAGAAUCAAUAGAUGCUCCAACAUAUAACAGACAAACAUGCUCCAGUAAGUCCAUAGAAGCCUUAUUUUUAAUAGCUAGAAUCUGGAAAGAACCCAGAAGUCCAUCAACAAAAGAAUGGAUACAGAGAAUGUGGUUCAAUUACACAAACGCAGUACUACUCAGCUAUUAAAAAGACAAUGACUUCAUGAAAUUCAUAGGCAAAAGGAUGGAACUAGAAAAUAUCAUCUUGAGUGAGGUGACCCUAUCAGAAAAUAACACAGAUGGUGUGCACUCACUGAUAAGUGAAUAGUAGCCCUGAAGCUCAGAUGAGCCAAGGUGCAAUCCACAGAUCACAUAAAGCUCAAGAAGAAGGACAACCAAAAUGUCUAUGUGUCAGUAUUUCUUAGAAGGGGGAACAAAAAUAUUUAUAGUAGGAAAUAUGAAGCCAAAAUUUGGAGAAGGGUUUGAAGAAAAGUAUAAAUAAAUAAAUAAAUUUAAAAAAUCAAAAUAAAAAUAAAGAAAACAUCCACAGUAUAUGGGGAAUUGACAGCACUUUAUCAAAUUACACUGAUCCAUAGAGAUAACUGCAUGCAGAAGACAGAAACUUAGUCCAUUUCAACACCAAGCACAGAAGUCAAUGCCACAUACAUCACAUACAUACGGAUCUGCAUAAUACUUCACACAACAAAUGUGGCAGAGGAGAAAGUAGGAAAUAUGUUUGACUUUACUGUACAGAAUGGUACUUCCUGAACAUUAGUCCUAUAGCACAGAGAAUAAAAGCAACCAUUCAUAAAUCAUACCUCCUGAAAUUUAAAACAUGGCAUAAAUCAAUGAUCAUCAUCAUUUGACUGAAUAUGAUGCCUCUGCCAUUCGUAAAAAUCUUAAUAGAUUCUUAUAAAAAUAAGUAUAUUUACAAUACAAACCAAGAUAAACCUUAUCUAUUAAGCUUCACACCUACCAAGUAGCAUUCAUGAUACGUAAAGUAGUCUGCAUGAUUUCAGAACAGAAAUGCAAACAUGGUUAUCCCAAAGCUACAAAUACUGCAAAGUAAACCAGUUACUGGCUCGUAAGAUGUUCUGGUACAGUAGUGGAACACAUAUUAUGGAAAUAAUUCUAUUUCCUGAUUCUAUUUCAGACACACUCUAUGUGAUGGAAGCCAGGCCUGAAACUGCUAAAGCAGCCAAAAUCCUAAGAGUAGAUAUGUCCUGAGCCAAGAGGAAAACUCAGUACUCUUAUCCGUAUCAAUGAAAUGACUGUCAUAGCUAUAGAUCUGUGUUUGGAACCCUCAUUAGAAAAGCAUCAUCUUCUUGUAGGCUAUAGACACUAACACAGAGACCCCAACCUGGAAAGUGUACAGAGAAGGUGGUAACUCCAUUUUAAAUGGGAUGACUCCUUUACGUCUCUCCCUCAAGACUUCAUUAUCUCUAUAGCAAAUAAACGUAGAGAUUCUAAGAGAUUGGGGUGAUAGAUUACUGUAGUGAGUGACUUACCGACAUAAUACCAAGUCCCUAGUAAAAGAGAAGAAAAAACAACAUGGAAUCUGAGAAGUAAUACUAAGAAGUCAAUAGGAUUCAAACAAGGAAUUGCUGAGUGGAUGAAGGUAGAGGUCAGUACUUUCCCUUUCGUGCAUUCAGAGGACCUGUGGGAGCAUCACCUAAGGACGGCACAAUGGCACCAGCCACCCUGGGUUUCCCUUCAGUAUUUAGGUAUUUUAGUAAUAUCUGCAAUUUAAUGAGUAUAAAUAUCCUCCACUUGGGAGGACAGAUGUGAUGUUUGGAUUCCACUGAGCAUGGAUGUUUGUUAAAAUUUAUUCUCAGUCUAAUAGGUCAGGUCUGCACCUGAAGGGUGCACUGUGCACUCACUGAUUUUGGUGAACAGGAUUUUAUGUGUGAAAAGAACAAAUACUUCUCACGCACUUACCAGAUGAUGCAAUCCAGGAGACUUGACCCCCGAUCAAGGAGAAUCCAUGUCUCUGUGAGACCACAUUAUCCUGAAAAUGACUCAUUUCUUCUUCUUUUUCGUGAUUAGGCAGGUAGCAGGCCAGUAACAAGAAUGACUAUAUAUAUAUAUCCAAUUGAAUUAAAUUUUUUCAGAGAUAAGUGACAUCAUGAACAGCAGAUGACAAUUGGAGAAAUGGUAAUUUAUGGAGUCAGGUCUUCACAUGUUAUAAAGUUGUAAAGGAAAGGCAGCAGAGCAUUGUGAGAAAAACAGUCCAAGGAGAUCAAUGGACCCAGAUGUGUAACCCUGUAGCUAUCUGCCCAGGGUUUCAACAGAGGUCAAUGUGUUGCAUUGUUGAGAUGGCAGCUCUGUCCCCCUUUGCACAAAAUCAGAUGCCACUUAGGCUCAUGCACUGCUUCCUCAGGACUUAGCCCUUCCUUUGGGUUAGUUGUCAGUGUCCACAGCCUGCACUAAGCCAACCUUAUCAAUCAGGCCACUGUUCAGUAUUCAUUUUAAUCUCUCAGAGACUCUCAGUCCACUCCUUUGUAGCUUCCCAUCACACAUGUGCCUUCUUGCCUUUAGCUGUUUGUAUGUAGUGCUUCUAGGUUUCUGGUUUGUGCUGUCUUCACUGUAACCCUCCACCAUAGAGCCUAUAGUUUGACCAAACACUGACCUCUAACUCCGUCUUUCAGUUAAAUCUCUUCCCGAUAUAUACUACAUGCACUUAAUAUGUGAAGGGAGUGUACAUUGCCUGUCCCUCUGAUUUGUGAGGAUAUAUCAUAAAGUUGCUAAAUAGAACACCUUGGUGUCACAGACUGUAUUGUUUGUCCAAGGGACUUAGCAUAUGAGUUUUGAAUUAAACUGCUUGCCUCUUAAUUGUAAGAGUUUCCCAUUAAAAUGUUCAAAGUGAAAGUCUUGCAUUUUAAAAUUUUUAUUGCAUCAGUAGCUUUUUAGUGUAUUUUCAAGGGAAAACAAUCUUUAACCCUACUCUUACUUCUCAUAUUAUCAAGUCAUGUGUUAUUAGUUGGCAAAGAGAAGACAGUUGAAAUGUGGCUUCUCUGAAUUUUCUUUCUUUCCUUUCCUUCCUCCUUUCUUUCCUUUUUUUCUUUCUUUAUUUUUGUAAAACGUUUAUUCUGCUCCCUCCACAAGUGGCCAUUAAUGGUGACUUUAUGAGCCAUUCCAAAUACCUGAGAUGAUGGUGAUGCUCCAUUCUCGUGUAGGGCGUUUUGAGGAAAACACCCUUAUUAUAUUCAUGACUGUCAUUACUUUGUCACAUCCAGAAGACCUAGUUUCACAGCACGUCUCCCCACAUUUUGUCCUUAUAUCUUUUCUGACUCCCUCUUCCACAACAGUACCUGAGCCUUGGAGGAUGUUGUGCUGUUUGAUUUUAAUGAACUUUCCAUAAAUCUACAUAUAAUCUGGGAAGACUGAAUCAGAGUAGAGGUAUCUUCUCCAUCACAUUGUCUUGAAGGAAGUCUGUGGGUCAUUUUCUGUGGUUAAUGUAGAAUGUCCCCUGUAAUUGUAGGUGGUGAUACUAGAUGUUGGUACUUCUGGGUGGAUGGGCCUCAGUUGUAUAAGAAAACAGGUUGAGGGGCUGGGGAUUUAGCUCAGUGGUAGAGCGCUUGCCUAGGAAGCGCAAGGCCCUGGGUUCGGUCCCCAGCUCCGGAAAAAAAAAAAAAAAAAAAGAAAACAGGUUGAGCAAAUCAUGUGAACAAGGCAGUAAUCUCUGCCCCUCCCCACUCUCUCUCUCUCUCUCUCUCUCUCUCUCUCUCUCUCUCUCUCUGUGUGUGUGUGUGUGUGUGUGUGUGUGUGUGUGUGUGUGUAAGUGACAAAGUCCAUAUGUAGAGGUGAGAGUGCAAUGUCUUAGAAUUGGUUUGAUCCUCCUACCAAGAUUGCAGGUCAUCAGGCUUGAAUGGAAAAUGAUCUUAGGUGCUGUGUCAUCUCAAUGGUUGCUUUCCUACAAAUUUCUUCCCAUUGACAUUCUUUUCAUUUAAAAAGCAGAAGCAUUUCUAAUAUUUCUGUCACUUUCUAAGUACAUCAAAUCUUAGACAAUAUUAAGGAACACGUAAGGAUGUGCAAGUACUUUAGAGGCAGUGCGAGUUUGCUUCACACAUGGAAGGCAGCUCUCGAACUGUGAAGACAAGCACAACAUUUUAAGGGAAG